UGGGGAAUAUUGCACAAUGGGCGCAAGCCUGAUGCAGCAACGCCGCGUGAGGGACGACGGCCUUCGGGUUGUAAACCUCUUUUAGCAGGGAAGCGGUACCUGCAGAAAAAGCACCGGCUAACUACGUGCCAGCAGCCGCGGUAAUACGUAGGGUGCAAGCGUUAUCCGGAAUUAUUGGGCGUAAAGAGCUCGUAGGCGGUCUGUCGCGUCUGCUGUGAAAACCCGAGGCUCAACCUCGGGCCUGCAGUGGGUACGGGCAGACUAGAGUGCGGUAGGGGAGAUUGGAAUUCCUGGUGUAGCGGUGGAAUGCGCAGAUAUCAGGAGGAACACCGAUGGCGAAGGCAGAUCUCUGGGCCGUAACUGACGCUGAGGAGCGAAAGGUGGGGAGCGAACAGGAUUAGAUACCCGUGUAGU
rnacentral:rRNA from 1 species